AGUGGAAUUUUCAUUUUCAUUUCUAUUGCUUGGUCAAAAUGAAACUGAGCUCCAAGGAAGGUGACUUUGCUCAUUCAGAUUAUAUUGGUAUGGUUUCUUACACACACACACAAAGCUAUAGAGGAGUAAAAAUGAUGAAGUGUCUGACAGUGCAUACAUAUCAGUCUUCCCAGAUCUUAAUUUUGGAAGGACUAAGGGGUUUCUGAGUUAGUCUUUCAUCAGACUGUCAGGACAUUAUUUUUCUUAUAAACUAUAGGUUCUAUUUGCUUUUCUGUGGCAUAUUCCAUCCCAAAGGACUGACAGCUUUUCACCUUCUAUCCAUCUGGUCUGUCCUCACCCUCUAUUGAAGUACAGCUGCCACAGUCUCAGGAGCACAAGCAGAAAAUGUGUUUAAUUGUGUGUAACAACCAUGGCCCACGGUGAAAGACAGAAGCAAGGCAGAAUGCAAUAGAAACAGUGGGGAACCUUUAGAUAAAAGCGUAGCUAAAAAUGAAUAACUACUAAUAAUUUCUGAAUGUAUUACAUUUCACUUCUUCUCUUCCCCCACCUGUUUUCAGCCUGUUUGUAUUAUAGGUAUUCUGUGGAGGGUAUCCUGUCUACCUAUCCCACCCUGGAGCUAGUAUUUUGAUAAAUACCCAUUAAUUUCUAACUGAUUCUGAAUUUUAUUAGGUAGUAGAUGCUUUCUGAGUCUCAGAGGUGCUCCUUGUAUAAUAUCAGUGGGUACCAGCGUUUCCCACCCCACAUACUUACCCCACCAAAACCCAGGCUCCCUAAAUAGCCCAAGUUAUGACUGUCAAAUUCAUGCUUACUGUUGAAAGUGUUGAUCAUAACAGCAGUACCCUGUUAAUGCAUGACAGGCACAUCAGCAAAUGGGUCAGGAUCAUCCUAGUCUGCCUGGGAAAUAAGGUGGUUCAGGACCACAUGAGCACAGAUGUUCAGGGGCUCCAGCUGCUACAAACAAUGGCACUGCUAGUAGCUCAGCAGCAGCAGUAUUUUGGGACUUCUGUUCAAUGCUGCAUGGUCAGUGAUGUGACUGUGUGCAGCUUCUCCAUUGUUCUCUGCAGAAAAGCAGGGCAGCAAGGAUGGCAGCCCACAACAUACCUCCGAUGUGCUCAGUUUUCUCUCCCGGAGGCUGUUCUCGGGGUGAAUGAGAGGCAACAGAGCAGUGGUGUGCUGACAGGCAUGGGCAGGGUCCUUGGCAAGUAAUCCCUGAAGCAAAUGGCAUAUCACACUGAAGGAUUUCAGCCCCAAUUAGCUGAAAUUUUAGUGAAAAAUGUUUACCUAGUGAAAAAAAAAUACUUCAAAGGGGCAGAAAUUUGUUGCAGUCAAUGAAAUGCUGUUAGUUUAAUGCAGAGGAAAGUAGUUAGGUCAUUUUGCAGACAGAAACUCUCAAGAGUCCUGUUUUCAGAAAGGUUAUUCUGAUUUAAUAACACACAACAUUGUCAUGCUGAGGCCAUACAAGGGGCAGUGCAUGCUCUAGAGUCAUCUUUAGCAUUGGCUAUUUUUUUAAUCAUCCAUGAACAUGGUUUUUGGGUGAUUCUGCUGUCAAUCUGCUGGAGAGAUUUGAUAUUCAUGGUAGCAAUCCCCUUACUUCCAGCCAUCUUGGUGGACUCAUUUGGUAAUGUCUGUCACACGCAAUUAUGUUGAAACCCCAUUAAUUAAUUAAUGUUAGUUACUAAUGGUUAUGCAAUUAAUUGCAUUUGGAAUAAUAUAAAAUUGAGUAAAUAACUUCAAAGUGUUGAGUCCUAUUUGGCAAGCUAAUACAGCUCAUCCUGCCCAAUUACACUGAUAAGAUUUUAAACUAAUUGAGCUCACACUGUGCCUCUCCAUUACCUGACAUUCAGAAGCAUGCAGAGAAGAUUAAAGGGAUUCAGGGGAUGGUGUGCUUGUAAAACCAGGAAUAGUCACUCCUGGUUCUCAUUUAAGCAUAAAUACAUAUUAACUCACAACUGAACAAUACUUUGCAUGGAUGUUUCCAUAGAGAUGAGCAUUCUGAGAUUUUGGGGGCUUUUGCUGGCAUUUCAGGUUAAAAAUAAAGACCCAGGUUGCCCAGGAUGUCAUUACACAAUGGCAGGUGCAUAUCCUGCAGUCCAACAGCUUGCUCACCAUGGCGCUACAGGAGCAGAGGAUUUGCCAUAGCAGAUUAAAACAUUUGUUCAUAUAACCUGACGUUUUGCCUUCUGCGCUGAUAUUCCUGAGGAAGGUAGAAGGCUCCCAUAAUGCCUAUUACCUAUCCAAUUAUUCUAGGUGGUGUACAGGGAAGAAACAUCCUUCGAGAGCCCUGCAGGCAAUUAGCUUACACCCAAAAGUGUGUUAUUCAAUUACCCUUAUUAUUUCAGCAUGCCAAGCAGCAAGAGCUGGUUAAUGAUUGUAUGAAUUUUUCCAGCCUUCUAAAAAAAUCUGCUUAAUGUUACCAGAACCUUAAAUCUCAUGCCAGCAAAACCCGUGUGAGGCCCACAAGCUGCACUAAAACCAAGGGAGGAGAAGGUUUUGGGCUGCUGAGUUCUCAGUGUCUGCUGCAGCACUUUGGAUUCAGAAGGUGCUGGUGACCACAUCCAUGGAAAAUGAUCAUCCUCAUCUCAUCUCUAAGCAGGGCUAAACAGAGUCUUCUUGGAUAAAUAUAUGGAAUAAGAAGCUGCCAUGGAGCUGACUGAUGGGUGGCUUUUAAAACUCUGUUGGUGGCAGUCUGAGAGGACCAAGAAUUCACCAUGUCCUGUCGAAGAUCUCUUAGAGGAUAGCGCUGAGGGACAGCUGUACCCUGCACCACUCUGGAGCCCACACAGGGAUGAGGGUCCAUGUGUCUUGGUAAUUCAGCUCCAGUAUUCAAGGUAUUUCAUACCACCCAGGUACAAAAACAGUUUAUAUAUUCCAAAUUAUAUUUGUGGAUUGUAUAUGUACAAUGCAUAUAUAUGUAUAACUUUCCAAAUUGCAUAUAGUGAAAUUUUCAGGGUGAAAGAAAAGCCGUGAAGAUUACUGUUUCCUGUGUAGUUCUCACGGGGUGACGACCCAAUUCAGCCUGCAGUCCCAAUGCUGUAGGUGCUAUACAACAAAAAUCAUUUUCACUUAGGUGAGUAGACCAGAUGAAAUCAGGGCCACUUUUUGCACUGUACUUGGCACAGAGAUUUAUUGAAAGGAGGAGAAACUGGGAGGAAAAAAUACCUUCUGCUUACACAGACAAUGCAAUUUUGGCUAAAAUAACAGAUAUUAUUUCUAAAACUAGCAUAUAACUUUCCUGUUAUACACAAGUAUCUUUCUUGACACCAAAUAUUUUUGUCUAGUUUUAGCUUUUGUCAAGUCAUGAAAUAGGAUAGAAAAUGUAAUUUGUGAUUCUUCACUAUUGAUGUUUUGCUGGAUUUUAGUAGUGUGGUGAAAAGCAAUUUAUAGCCAAAGUAUGCAAAAAUUACUUGUUUGGCUUAUAGAGCAUUCAAUGAAGGAAACACUCACAUGAAUGCUUGGCCAUUAGCAUAUUAGGGCUUUGCUGUAUGGAAAAUCAUUUAAGAACUUAAGCAUUUCACUGAACUGAAACCACAUAGCAUAAACAGUAUUACAAAUUGUCAUAGGUAAGUACAUUAAGCUGGAGCAGAAGAAAGCACUUAGAAAGGAGGAAACUUGUAUGUUUCUCAGAAGUAGGAACAGAUUAGAUGACGUCCUUUACAACAGAAAAUAAGAAGGGGGAGGGGGAAAGACUAGGAAAGAGGAAAAAAUGAAAUGGGAUAGAAGCAAAAUGUAAGAGGGGCUGAGGGGGAGCCUGAAAUAUUAAGAACAACUUGAAGUUUAGUAAGUUGGCAUCCUUGACAGUCAGUUUCCUUUCUGGAUGCACAGAGGGAUGGUGUUAACACCUCAGAGGAGGAAAACAAAUUGCCUGAGCUCCCUGGUUCUCAUUUGUCCCACUAGUGACCACCCUGCAACUUGCCCUAACAAUGUUGUAGAAGGAUGUGAUCCUUCAUUGCUCCUGACCAACCCCAGUGGCAGCAGUGUCAGUCAAGCACACAUCAAGAUGAUGCUUCAGGCUCAUCAAACACCAUUUGCAACUCAAAGAUUUCCUCUUCCUACUGCUGUGCUAACUUAGGGCCCAAAUGAAUCCCUGGAGUUCAGUUUCAACAUUGAAUUCUCCCUGGAUUGCCUGAAUCUAUUCAUUUUUCUUCUGCUUCUCCAAUAAAUGGCUUUUAAUAACAAUUUUACAGGACACAUUUGCAGCAUGAUCUUUGUUGUCUGUUGUUUUACUUCUAUUUUCAUUCAGGAAGACAUUUUAAAGUCUAGUAAAUUUUUACAACAUUUGCAUGCUCCAACUGUAGGAACUUACAUAGUGAUUUAUAGCGUGAACAUAUAA